AACAUGUUUCUUUUAUUUUCCCUGAAGGAAAACAUGAUUUUUGGUUUUUUUUUUUCCUUUUCCUUUUUCUUUUUUUCUUGGUAGUUGGGAGGAAUAAAUCAGAUUAUAAAUCAUAAAAAA
rnacentral:ribozyme from 13 species